AUGAUUGAACAAGCUAACUGUAGAUACUCCAACUACUGGAAAAAGGGUAUCAGAGGGUUUUGUAGCAGUGCCGUGGUGCAUGAAGAGCCAAUCACUCCACCUGUUGAGGUUAAAUAUAAUCAGCUUCUCAUUAAUGGACAGUUUGUUGAUGCAGCCUCAGGAAAGACAUUUCCUAUAUUUGACCCUCGAACAGGGGAAGCCAUUACUACGGUUGCCGAGGCCGACACUGAAGAUGUCAACCGUGCAGUCUCUGCUGCCCGUAAAGCAUUUGACGAAGGACCAUGUCCUAAAAUGACUACUUAUGAAAGAUCAUGUCUAAUGUUGCGGUUUGCUGAUUUGCUUGAGAGGCACAGUGAUGAACUUGCAGCACUUGAGACUUGGGAUAAUGGAAAGCCUUACGAACAAGCUGCAAAUGAAGAAAUACCAAUGCUCAUUCGUCUUUUCAGAUACUAUGCUGGUUGGGUGGAUAAAAUUCAUGGUCUUACAGCUCCUGCUGACAGUUUGCACCAUGUUCAGACCCUGCAUGAGCCAAUUGGUGUUGCCGGACAGAUAAUACCCUGGAAUUUUCCGCUAUUAAUGUUCGCUUGGAAAGUUGGCCCUGCACUUGCUUGUGGUAACACUGUCGUACUAAAACCAGCAGAACAAACACCACUCUCUGCCCUGUAUUUGUCAAAGUUAUUCCAUGAGGUAUGUACCCAUUUUUAGUUGGACUCCCCCCCUGGAGUCUUAAAUGUCAUUCCUGGAUCCGGUAGUGCAGGUGCAGAUCUUGCCAGUCAUAUGGAUGUUGAUAAGAUUGCUUUUACAGGGUCCACAGAAACUGGUAAAGCUGUCGUAGGUGCAGCUGCAAAGAGCUACCUAAAAGCCAGUGACAUUGGAGCUCGGAGGAAAAUCUCCUUUCAUCAUUUGUGAAGAUGCAGACGUUGAUAAAUCUGUCGAGUUGUCUCAUUCUGCCGUUUUCUUUAACCAGGGACAAUCCUGCUGUGCUGGAUCUCGGACAUUCGUACAUGAAAGAGUAUAUGAUGAAUUUGUGGAGAAAGCCAAGGUUCGUGCUUUAAAACGUAUCGUUGGAGACCCUUUCAAGAAGGGAGUUGAACAAGGUCCUCAGAUUGAUACAGAGCAAUUUGAGAAGAUCCUUAAGUACAUAAAAUCUGGUACUGAAAGGGGGCUACUCUUGAGUCUGGAGGGGAAAAAUUGGGUUCCAAGAGAUUCUAUGUCCAACCUACUGUCUUCUCAAAUGUCCAGGAUAACAUGCUGAUUGCCAGAGAUGAGAUAUUUGGACCAGUGCAGUCCCUCUUGAAAUUCAAGGAUGUUGAAGAGGUCAUUCGAAGGGCAAACUCGUCACAUUAUGGGUUGGCAGCGGGUGUUUUUACCCAGAAUAUAGAUGCAGCCAACACAAUAUCUCGAGCCCUUAGAGUAGGGACAGUGUGGGUUAACUGCUUUAAUAUCUUUGAUGCUGCCAUUCCUUUUGGUGGUUAUAAGAUGAGUGGACGAGAAAAGGGAGUCUACAGCCUAAGUAUAAAGUAACUACUUGCAAGUCAAAGCUAUUGUUACUCCUCUGAAGAAUCCAACAUGGCUGUAGUUUUCCCUCCUGCUUUCUGAUACUCCUGAGAUGUCAUGCAACACGGCAAUCUUGUUUUUUUGAGGUCACUUGUAUACAGUGUAGAUAAGACCAAAACGCUAUAUUGUGUUUGUGUUAUUGUUUGUUACUUACUUUUUAUGAUUUGAUAACAAUAUGCAACCUUGUUUGUGUGAAACCUUUCUUGUAUUUCUGUAGCUCUGAUGCAAAAUAGGAUCUUGUUUUUGAGUUUCGUGGGAAUGUAAUGAAUUGAUAGAUAGAUGUAAUGUUAUACUUCUAUAUGACUAUGGUA